rnacentral:rRNA from 1 species
UGUUUCCAUUAAUCAAGAACGAAAGUUAGAGGCUCGAAGGCGAUCAGAUACCGCCCUAGUUCUAACCAUAAACGAUGCCAGCCAGCGAUCCGGCUGUGUUCCUCAAAUGACACGCCGGGCAGCUUCCGGGAAACCAAAGCUUUUGGGUUCCGGGGGAAGUAUGGUUGCAAAGCUGAAACUUAAAGGAAUUGACGGAAGGGCACACAAGGCAUGGAGCCUGCGGCUCAAUUUGACUCAACACACGAAAACUUACCCGACCCGGACACAGGAAGGAUUGACAGAUUAAGAGCUCUUUCUUGAUUCUGUGGGUGGUGGUGCAUGGCCGUUCUUAGUUGGUGGAGCGAUUUGUCUGCUUUAUUGCGAUAACGAACGAGACUCUAGCCUACUAAAUAGACGUUCCGAUCAUCUCAGUCGGACGUUCUUCUUAGAGGGACAGGCGGCGUCUAGCCGCACGAGACAGAGCAAUAACAGGUCUGUAUGCCCUUAGAUGUCCGGGGCCGCACGCGCGCUACAUUGAAGGAAUCAGCGUGUGCUUUCCCGGUCCGACAGGACUGGGUAACCCGUUGAACCUCCUUCGUGCUGGGGAUAGGACUUUGUAACUGUCGUCCUUGAACGAGGAAUACCCAGUAAGCACGAGUCAUAAGCUCGUGUUGAUUACGUCCCUGCCCUUUGUACACACCGCCCGUCGCUACUACCGAUUGAAUGAUUUAGUGAGGUCAUCGGACUGGCGCUCGGAUUGGCCUUCGGGUCGAGCCGGCGUGCCGGAAAGAUGUCCAAACUUGAUUAUUUAGAGGAAGUAAAAGUCGUAACAAGGUUUC